rnacentral:rRNA from 1 species
AGUCAACAUGCCCAAAGGACGUGGAUAACCUCGGGAAACUGAGGAUAAACCGCGAUAGGCCAAGGUUUCUGGAAUGAGCCAUGGCCGAAAUCUACAUGGCCUUUGGAUUGGACUGCGGCCGAUCAGGCUGUUGGUGAGGUAAUGGCCCACCAAACCUGUAACCGGUACGGGCUUUGAGAGAAGGAGCCCGGAGAUGGGCACUGAGACAAGGGCCCAGGCCCUAUGGGGCGCAGCAGGCGCGAAACCUCUGCAAUAGGCGAAAGCUUGACAGGGUUACUCUGAGUGAUGCCCGCUAAGGGUAUCUUUUGGCACCUCUAAAAAUGGUGCAGAAUAAGGGGUGGGCAAGUCUGGUGUCAGCCGCCGCGGUAAUACCAGCACCCCGAGUUGUCGGGACGAUUAUUGGGCCUAAAGCAUCCGUAGCCUGUUCUGCAAGUCCUCCGUUAAAUCCACCUGCUCAACGGAUGGGCUGCGGAGGAGACCGCAGAGCUAGGAGGCGGGAGAGGCAAACGGUACUCAGUGGGUAGGGGUAAAAUCCAUUGAUCUACUGAAGACCACCAGUGGCGAAGGCGGUUUGCCAGAACGCGCUCGACGGUGAGGGAUGAAAGCUGGGGGAGCAAACCGGAUUAGAUACCCGGGUAGUCCCAGCUGUAAACGAUGCAGACUCGGUGAUGGGUUGGCCUCGAGCCAACCCAGUGCCGCAGGGAAGCCGUUAAGUCUGCCGCCUGGGGAGUACGGUCGCAAGACUGAAACUUAA